rnacentral:ncRNA from 1 species
UAUUCUACUGUAUUUAUUCAAUAAAACACCAUUCAUGCGCGUCACUAUUAGACUGACGGAAGCCGGCGCUCUUCGGAGUGUCCUGCAAAUUCCGAAUGUAGCCAAAUGCCCCGUCAUCUAAUUAGUGACGCGUAUGAAUGGAUCAACAAGAUUCCUUCUGUCCCUAUCUACUAUCUAGCGUAACCACAGCCAAGGGAACGGGCUUGGCAAAAUCAGCGGGGAAAGAAGACCCUGUUGAGCUUGACUCUAGUCUGACUCUGUGAAGAGACAUGAAAGGUGUAGCAUAGGUGGGAGAUUGUCAAAUUGCCAUCGUUCGCGCGGUGGUCCGGUGAUCACCAAUGAAAUACCACUACUUUGAUCGUUUCUUUACUUAUUCGGUAAAGCGAAAAAAUUGUGGCCAAUUUGGCGGUGUUUAUGUCGCUGUUGGUCAUUGUUUUCAUGUUA